AUUGAACGCUGGCGGCAGGCCUAACACAUGCAAGUCGAACGAGUGGCGGACGGGUGAGUAAUGUCUGGGAAACUGCCUGAUGGAGGGGGAUAACUACUGGAAACGGUAGCUAAUACCGCAUACCAUCAGAUGUGCCCAGUUGGGAUUAGCUAGUAGGUGGGGUAACGGCUAACCUAGGCGACGCUCCCUAGCUGGUCUGAGAGGAUGACCAGCCACACUGGGACUGAGACACGGUCCAGACUCCUACGGGAGGCAGCAGUGGGGAAUAUGGCACAAUGGGCGCAAGCCUGAUGCAGCCAUGCCGCGUGUAUGAAGAAGGCCUUCGGGUUGUAAAGUACUGUCAGCGGGGAGGCGGUACCCAAAGAAGAAGCACCGGCUAACUCCGUGCCAGCAGCCGCGGUAAUAC
rnacentral:rRNA from 1 species